CAGCAGCCGCGGUAAUACGAAGGGGGCUAGCGUUGCUCGGAAUUACUGGGCGUAAAGGGCGCGUAGGCGGACAGUUAAGUCGGGGGUGAAAGCCCGGGGCUCAACCUCGGAAUUGCCUUCGAUACUGGCUGUCUUGAGUGUGAGAGAGGUGUGUGGAACUCCGAGUGUAGAGGUGAAAUUCGUAGAUAUUCGGAAGAACACCAGUGGCGAAGGCGACACACUGGCUCACUACUGACGCUGAGGCGCGAAAGCGUGGGGAGCAAACAGGAUUAGAUACCCCAGUAGUCCCUGUCUCUUAUAC
rnacentral:rRNA from 1 species